AGCAGCCGCGGUAAUUCCAGCUCCAAUGGCGUAUAUUAAAGUUGUUGCAGUUAAAAAGCUCGUAGUUGAAUUUCGGGAUCAAUAUUUCGGUCAUGCCGUUGGUAUGCACUGUUAUCAUUGAUUUCUCACCUUCUAAAGAACCGUAAUGCCAUUAAUUUGGUGUUACGGGGAAUUAGGACUGUUACCUUGAAAAAUUGAGUGUUUAAAGCAGGCUCACGCUUGAAUACGUUAGCAUGGAAUAAUGAAAUAGGACGUUUGAUUCUAUUUUGUUGGUUUCUAGGAUCGACGUAAUGAUUAAUAGGGAUAGUUGGGGGCAUUAGUAUUCAAUUGUCAGAGGUGAAAUUCUUGGAUUUAUUGAAGACUAACUACUGCGAAAGCAUUUGCCAAGGAUGUU
rnacentral:rRNA from 1 species